CAAAACUCGCUGAAGCUUAUAAAUACCUCAACCUUCUAGUUUUUACCUUCUAAUAUCUUCAUCCAAAGCUAAUCCCCGGUGUCUCUCAAUAGUAUGGAGUCAGAGAUUGAGAUGUUCAGGAAGGACUUAGUCCAGACUACUAGUGAUUCUGUGGAGGAGAACAAGGUACUCUGUUAGCUAGUGGAGGUGCUAUUGGCUAAGCAGUUGAACCUUAAGCAAGUUAUCAAGAACCAAUCGAAGGCAUGGCAUGAGGUGAACGACAAGAAAAAUUAGUGGCAUCUUGAGCACAUGACUUUGGGAUAGACCAUUCGGAGGCUUCGAUGGCUCAUUAAGAAGGAUCAUUAGAUCUCCACAAGUGAAGAUUUGGAGAUUCCUCUGAUGGAUACGCCUAUAAACUGUUUGAACUACUUUGGCCACAUGGGACACUAGACCCAGAAUUGUCCUACAUCUUUAGGGGCAGCAUUCCUUUGUUUUUGGAAGGAAGUAACCGGAUCUGCGCAGGCAACAUUAGGUGUGGUAGUUCUUCUACAUUUUGAAAGAUUAUCACCGAUGCCAAAUUCUUUAUCUCUAAGGAAGAUAAGUCCAGGAAAAUGUCUUACCAUUUUAGUGACGCAAGCAACCAGUUAUUCAGUCUCAGGAAGGAGAGGUGGUGUCAUGCUGUUGGUGAGGGAUGUUUCUAUUUGCUAAAAAUAGAGCGUCAAGUGUCUUUUUUAUACAUACAGCAUACAACGGUCCCUCAAGUGAUGAAUUUCCUAAUCACCUGUGAUAAAAAGUAGCAUGAGGGUGGGGCAGAUUAAGUGAGAGGGUGGUUUUUCAAGGAUGGAGUAUAUAGAUGUAACAUUAUAGGCCUUUAUCCUAACUUAUCUACGAAAGUAAUCUGGUAAAUGAGACACUAGUGGUCACUAAUAUUUUUAGUAACAAGUUUGUUAAAAUUAAGGGCUAGUAUCCGGAGGACGAGCCUAGAUUCCUAGGUUGGAUAAAGUCUCCAGCAUCGAAGUGGUGGGCAAGGAUAACAAAACUCCUCCUUCAGACUUUAGAGGAGAGAUUGAGAAUGUUGGGGCUCUAUUGUAUCAUAGGAGCUUCUCAAUACGGUGUCGAUAUUUGCCUAUUGCAUUUUAUAGUUUUUUUGGAGCUAUACGACAUGCACGCCAACACUUUCUUCACUCUAGUAGGAGAGUCAGAGUUGCUUUGCAUGAGAUGGUUGAGAUGUCUCUAUUGCCGAUGGGGGAGUAAUCAUAUAUAGAGUUCUUUCCCAAUUAUUAUGAACUAAGGAUGAGAAGUGCUUUUAUCUAUGAAAAUUUGAGUGAACUGGUGUGCUACUAUUGUAUCUACCACUAGACAAUCCCCAUGCUACUCACUGUCCACACGUUGGUCGCAAGCUCUGGGCUAACUAUUUUUUUAAGAGCUUGGAAAAGAAGGAGGACAUUGAAGCUCUUCGAGUGAGUUCCAACGAUGAAGUGGAAUGAAGGAUGUUUAAGCAUGGUCCAGUAAUUCAAAUGUCGAAUCAUAUGAAUGAGGUUUUAGUGUGGGUGACACAUUCAAGAGCUUACACCAUCAAGCUAUAGAGCCUAUUUCUAAACAAGUUCUACUUGGUGGCUUACUUCUAUUUGGCUGAAGGGAUGCAUAAUGUUGUCUUGGUCGAAAUAUGUGAUCUCCAUCAAAGUUUUGUAUCCGACAGUGCUAUUAGCCUAUGGGUUUAGCCUUGCUUUUCUCCUAGCUAUGAUCAACUACCUUCACAAUUGGUUAAGAGCUUUGAUAGGAGAGCAUUUAGAAUAGGAAAAAGAUCAGUCAAAUGAUCAAGUGCCCAACCUAAGGGUAGAAGUGGCAUACACCUACCUGAUGACGUGGUAUACAAUUCACUGCUCGUCACUUAUGAUGGCUGCCACUAGAUGUGAAGAAGGACUCUCACUACUACAAUAAUACGAGACUUCUAAGUGGAGAGUGAAGCAUGUUGUAAGGAUUCUUCGGAUGGUUCAUAAUAAGGAUCAAUACUGACUCUACUAUGCUUUCUCAAAUUCACUAGUAUUGGCGAUGUAUUUGAGGAUAGUCCUAGCAUUGAAGGAUUCACUACUCGACGAGUGGUUGCUCCAGGUGGUUGGUCAACAUUAGAUUUACACUUCUCGUCUUCUAGAGUAGGUAUGAAUGCUAUAUUGAGCCCUAUUUUCCCCGCCACUUUACUUAUCAGUUUUGGUACAAUCAGCUUUACAUAGACAAUCCAAACACCAGAUUGUUGUAUUCGAGGAGUUUAGUGGAUGGAGCCUGCACUUGGUAUUAUUUUAUUGCCGGAAGCACUGGUUCAAGGUUUACUCUGCAACAAAAAACUCCUAAUAGUUAUACGACUUUACGAUUUUGUAAAUGGUGUAAAUGUCAUCAAUGCACACUUCAAGAUUAGAAAGAUGGGUAUGAAGUGGAUUAUCAAGUGGUUCAAGGAGCUUGCUAAGAAAAUAUCUAAGAGUAGAGCACUGGGGCUCAGUGAAUUCCUCAAAGAUGUGCAAUGAGGAGAAUAUAUGGAUGACGAGGAUAAGUCAUAUGUGCCUGUCGAGCAAUCGCCUCUGCCUAGACUAACCAACGUAUGUAUAAGGGAGCCAUCACCUCAGGGUGAUGAAGUAGAUAGAGAUAUCCAUUGAAAGAGGACACAACA